GUCAGAGUUUGAUCCUGGCUCAGAACGAACGCUGGCGGCGUGGAUAAGACAUGCAAGUCGAACGGAAUAUCAUGAGUAGCAAUACGAGUGGUGUUUAGUGGCGAACGGGUGCGUAACACGUGGAUACAUUCCGGGAAGCGGGGGAUAGCCCAGGGAAACUUGGAUUAAUACCGCAUGUGAUCGAAAGAUCAAAGACGGGGACCGCAAGGCCUGUCACUUCCCGGAUUGGUCCGCGGCCUAUCAGCUAGUUGGC
rnacentral:rRNA from 1 species